rnacentral:pre_miRNA from 1 species
CAUCUACUCCCUCCGUUCGGAAUUACUCGUCCAAGAAAUAAAUGUAUCUAGAUGUAUUUUAGUUGUAGAUACAUCCAUUUUUAUGACAAGUAAUUCCGAACGGAGGGAGUAGCUU